rnacentral:rRNA from 1 species
CCCUUAGAUGUUCGGGGCCGCACGCGCGCUACACUGAAGGAAUCAGCACGUCUUUCUCCUUGUCCGAAAGGACUGGGUAACCCGCUGAACCUCCUUCGUGCUAGGGAUUGGGGCUUGUAAUUCUUCCCCAUGAACGAGGAAUUCCCAGUAAGCGCGAGUCAUAAGCUCGCGUUGAUUACGUCCCUGCCCUUUGUACACACCGCCCGUCGCUACUACCGAUUGGAUGGUUUAGUGAGAUCCUCGGAUUGGUCCCGGCGCGGCCUCUGGUCGUGCCGGAGUGCCGAAAAGAAUGUCGAACUUGAUCAUCUAGAGGAAGUAAAAGUCAUAACA